rnacentral:rRNA from 1 species
UGGGGAAUCUUGGACAAUGGGGGCAACCCUGAUCCAGCGACGCCGCGUGGAUGAAGAAGGCCUUAGGGUUGUAAAGUCCUUUCACCGGGGAGGAUGAUGACGUUACCCGGAGAAGAAGCACCGGCUAACUCCGUGCCAGCAGGCGCGGUAAGACGGAGGGUGCUAGCGUUGUUCGGAAUCACUGGGCGUAAAGGGCGCGUAGGCGGCCAAGGCAGUCAGAUGUGAAAGCCCGGGGCUCAACUCCGGAACUGCAUUUGAUACUCCUUGGCUGGAGGUCGAGAGAGGAAAGUGGAAUACCCAGUGUAGAGGUGAAAUUCGUAGAUAUUGGGUGGAACACCAGUGGCGAAAGCGGCUUUCUGGCUCGAACCUGACGCUGAGGCGCGAAAGCGUGGGGAGCAAACAGGAUUAGAUACCCCCGUAGUCC